rnacentral:rRNA from 1 species
UACGUAGGGUGCAAGCGUUAUCCGGAAUUAUUGGGCGUAAAGAGCUCGUAGGCGGUUUGUCGCGUCUGCUGUGAAAACUGGGGGCUCAACCCCCAGCCUGCAGUGGGUACGGGCAGACUAGAGUGCGGUAGGGGAGAUUGGAAUUCCUGGUGUAGCGGUGGAAUGCGCAGAUAUCAGGAGGAACACCGAUGGCGAAGGCAGAUCUCUGGGCCGUAACUGACGCUGAGGCGCGAAAGCGUGGGGAGCGAACAGG